GAGGAGUUGCAGGGAGGGGUUAAGAUUUAUUUUGUUGCCUGUUUGUUUGCGGGGCUUUGGUUGGGUCGGUUUUCCUUUUUUUUUUUUUUUUUUUUUCCUUUUGUGUGUGUUUGUGUGUGUGUGCGGUGAUGGCGGUGCUCCUCAAGGAAAGAAUAACGAACGGCGGGAUGUGCACAACGGGCUGGAACGGAGGGGCUGCGCCGAGCCUGCUCCAACACAGCCCAGACCGAGCCGGCAACGGGAGGCUGGGAAGGGCCGGGUCGGCUCGGCGGAGCUCCGGUGGAGGGGCUGCCGGCGUCACCGUUCCUCUCCAGGAGGGCGGAGAGGCUGCGGGCAGCCGCACGGAGCCCCUCGCUGCGGGACGCGAGCAGCCGAUGGGGCCGGGGCCGGACGGAGGGCAGCUCCGGGUCGGCUGCUGGGCGGCGCGGCGGCCGCUCCUCCUCCUCCUCCCACAGCCGCCAUCCAGCGAGCCGCCGCGGCGGUACCGAGCGGUACGAUUAGCCUGAGAGCUUGGUGUUAAUCAAUCGAAAUCUAACAGGGAACAGGCUGAAGAUCAACAAGGGGCUUUGGCAUCCCAACAUGAGAGCAGGCAACAAGUAGUACAGACUGCUCUCCCCCUCUUCUCUCCCCCCUCCACCUUCAGCCAGUCCUGACAAAAUGCCAGUUAGAAAGGUCAGCCUGUUUAUGUAAAGGUAAGUGUUACUUCACAAAGACUGCUGCACAUCAAAGCCUGCAAUGACUAUUAGAUAGACUUUGGGAUUCAAGGUACUCAGUCAUAGUCCUGUUCAUUUUCUAUAACUGAUAAAAUCACAGAGAAAACAGAAGACAGACACAGCACAAGUGGGAUAGAUCAACAUGCUGGGGUGUGUGGAGGCGGCAGUAUCUUCAUGACAGUGUUUGCUACUGCAAAUGCUAGUAAGAUCUGGUGGAUCCUCAUAUAUUACCUGCACGUAUAUAUGAACACACACACAUAUAUAUAAAGAGAUUUGCUGAUGUGCUAAUGUUUUUCUGCUCCUCUUUCUAGUUUUCACUUCAGCUGUAAUUAUGUCCUAGACUGAAUUAGUUCUGCAGUCAUUUCACACCGAAAGCAGUUUAAAUCAAAGAAGGAGAAUUUGAUUUUGAGUCUUACCAAUUCUAUCCCCUCUAAAAAAGAGAAGAUUGACUUUACUGGACUUUGGCACAGGCCAUUCAUAGUUAAGUUUAGCUUUCAUUUCAUAGCACCUAGAUGCACAGUGGACACAGUCUGAUCAUUUCCGUAUGCAUUAUUUCCCUUCCUGUUAAUCUAGAGCAGUACAGUCAUGUUUCCUUAACUCAUAUCACUUCUUCUGGCCCUUUUCCUGCUUAAAAUGUAAUAAGGAUAUUCUGAUAUUAUUCACUUGUGUAUAUUUGUUAAAUACCUAAAAGCUAAAAGAAUACUAUCUUGGAGUAACAACAUAAAUCUUCCACUGAUGUCCAUUCCAAUACCUAAUUGCCACCACAGUUCUGUUCUAGACCUUGAAAUGGUGCUGAAACAGACUUGAAGUCUUGUGGAGGAAUUUGUUGCUUUUUGUUCAAUGAUAGUAAUAAAAUAUUACAAAAUCCCACCAUAGGUCAGAAUGCUGAAAUUGCAAACAGUAGAACCAUGGCACUAACUGUAUUUGAAUGGGGCAAGAACCAUGAACUGGCAAUGCAAAAUCCAAACUUGGAGCCUAGUUUCACCUAAGGAGCUGCACAUCAUUGCGUGAGAUAGAGAUGCAUUACCUCUGCCAAGUGGCAGUGAAUUAGAGGUCAUCAGAUUCCUUUUUCUUAUAAAUCAACAUUAAGUAGUGGUGUGUCUGUGUAUUGGUAAAUACACAUCUUGAUAGCAUAUCCCAUAACACUUUUUUACUUCAUAUUUUUCACUCUCUUUUUUUCCAGAACUGGUUCCAUGUUUCUUUUUAGCUACUGACAAUGCAUGCAAUUUAUUAAACCAGUUCAGCAGUUACUGUUAAUUUGCAACAGGAAAAAAGUAUUAUGCAAACAAUGCUGUCACCUUCUUACAGUAGCUUCUUCCUCCUAGCUAUAAUGGAUUCUCUGCGUGCUGGUCUCCUGUAAAUUCUCCAUCUAAAAAUUCCAUUUUCUACUUGUUUUGUCAAGAGAAACUCUACUUGACUUUUGAAACAGUUGGGAGGAGAAAAAUGAUAACCCACUGAAGUGCCUUGCCCUUAGCUGAUAUUACGGCAAAGUAAUUAAAGCAAAAAGACUCACACUUUGCACUCCUUAUGAUUGUGGUGGCUUUUGAAUGGGUGAGAUUAUUUUUAGACAUUGAUUUGAAUGUCAAAUUUGCAUAUUCAUCUAGAAAACAUAGCAAAUGCUUAAUUGCCUAUGUCCAAGUGUUUGUAUUUUGCUUUGAAAACAAUGUGUCACAUAUUCCCGGGUUUUAUUUUUUGUUGCUAUUUGAGUGCAUCCACAAAUUGAACUACUUAUCUAAAUAAGUCCUGUGUUUGCUCAGUAUAGAAACAAAUGUGCUGUGUUUAGAAUUUUGCUUCAUAAACAUAUUUUGACCUAUAUGCUUUUACUUAAAUGGAGAUAUGAUUCACUUGAAUGGAAUUACAGCCGGAGACUUUUUCUUUUCUUGCAGAGGAGUUUAUUUUUGGAAUUUACCAGCAUUUCACAUGUAGGGAAUAAAUUUGAACUUUUAUAAUUUAUUUCUGGAGGGGAAAAUGAAUCAGAGAAAUACAGAGAAAUGACUGUGUACUUACUUAGAAUCAUGGAAUAUCCUGAGCUAGAAGGGAUCUGCAAGGAUCACUGAGUUCAACUGCUGUCUUCACACAUUCAGAAUCCACAACAUGCUCAAAUGUCAUAUGGUUGGUGAUAGCCCAGCCCUCUAAUUUAUCAAGAUCCCUCUGGAAGGCCUCUCUACCCUCAAAGGAGUUAGCAGAGUCUUCUUUCUUGCUCUACUUGAAAACUGGGAUGUUUGACAGCUUCCAGUCAGUGGGGAUCUCUCCAGUUUCCCAAUACCAUUGAAAAACAAUUGAGAGAAGUUUUGUGAUGACGUGAGCCUGUUCUUUCAGUUAUAAGUAUCAUUCAGACACCAGUCUUCUGAGAUGUGACCAGUGAUGAAGACCAGUGAUGUUUCUCCACUCCUUUCAGAAGAUAUUAACUGCAAGGCCUUUCCUCUCUUGCAAGAGUUUGGAUGUUGCAGAGCACCAUCGCAAGAAAGCUAGAGGCCUUGCUGGUGGGCAGGAGGUUGAGAAAGGCCAUAGAUGACCCAAACUGAUCAGAGGGAUAUUCCAUAUCAUUUCACAUCAUGCUCAGUGAUGAAGGCAGGGGAGGCAAGUUUUUCCAAAGUAGCCAUUGCUCAGAGAUUGUUUGGACACGUUUGCUCUUGGGAGGUGGAGACAGCGUGAGUGACUGACCAGGUCCUAACUGCCUGCUGGGGCCACCUCCAAAGCCACUUCUGGGACUGGAGAAGUAAGACGCGAUGCCUCGGCAGUUGUUGGACUUUUGAAACAGAGAAAGGUCCUCCCAGUUUUCCUGUUUCACUGAUCUCAGUUUCUGUUAAAUAUGUGUUACCUAUGAUCCUCAGAAAUGUAAGAAGGUACUAAAAUAAAUUAGAAAAUAAAGAUGUAAGCUUAAAAAGUGAGAGUGCAUUCUCAUACUAAUAGUAUUAAUAGCGCUAAGCUGCCUUUGGUGUCAUGUUUCAUUCUCUAGGUAGCCUUCCAUCACUGUCAUGCUUUGUGAGUAAUUUUUCCGUGGUCGGUUUCUGCUUUUUCUGCUUUCAUGAGUGAACACACCCAAAAACGAGUUAUUCACAAAAAAACAUAGAGGUUCUGAUGGA